rnacentral:rRNA from 1 species
GAUGAACGCUAGCUACAGGCUUAACACAUGCAAGUCGAGGGGUAACGAGAGGAAAGCUUGCUUUCCUUGUCGACGACCGGCGCACGGGUGAGUAACGCGUAUCCAACCUGCCCCCAACUAGGGAAUAACCUUGCGAAAGUAAGACUAAUACCCUAUAAUUUCCUCAGAUGCCAUCUGACGAGGAAUAAAGAUUUAUCGGUUGUGGAUGGGGAUGCGUCUGAUUAGCUUGGUGGCGGGGUAACGGCCCACCAAGGCAACGAUCAGUAGGGGUUAUGAAAGGAAGGUCCCCCACAUUGGAACUGAGACACGGUCCAAACUCCUACGGGAGGCAGCAGUGAGGAAUAUUGGUCAAUGGGCGGAAGCCUGAACCAGCAAAGUAGCGUGCAGGAUGACGGCCCUAUGGGUUGUAAACUGCUUUUAUACAGGAAUAAAGUUAGCCACGUGUGGUUAUUGGUAGGUACUGUAUGAAUAAGGACCGGCUAAUUCCGUGCCAGCAGCCGCCGUAA